CGGACGGGUGAGUAAUGUCUGGGAAACUGCCCGAUGGAGGGGGAUAACUACUGGAAACGGUAGCUAAUACCGCAUAACGUUGCAAGACCAAAGAGGGGGACCUUCGGGCCUCUUGCCAUCGGAUGUGCCCAGAUGGGAUUAGCUAGUAGGUGGGGUAAUGGCUCACCUAGGCGACGAUCCCUAGCUGGUCUGAGAGGAUGACCAGCCACACUGGAACUGAGACACGGUCCAG
rnacentral:rRNA from 1 species